rnacentral:rRNA from 1 species
UACGUAGGGGGCAAGCGUUGUCCGGAUUUAUUGGGCGUAAAGAGCGUGUAGGCGGCUUGACAAGUCUGCUGUGAAAACUCGAGGCUCAACCUCGAGCUGUCGGUGGAAACUGUCUGGCUAGAGUCCGGAAGAGGAGAGUGGAAUUCCUGGUGUAAGCGGUGAAAUGCGCAGAUAUCAGGAAGAACACCUAUGGCGAAGGCAGCUCUCUGGGACGGUACUGACGCUGAGACGCGAAAGCGUGGGGAGCGAACAGG